rnacentral:lncRNA from 1 species
AACAAUUUAUUUAAUAGAACAUAUACUUCGCCGACGUUACAGAAAUUUAUUAACGAAAACAACACUUGAUAAUUCUAAAAAACAAACAAACACCACAGCUUCGUUUAAAACAUUUAAUUAGAACGACACAAACAAAUGACACAUAUAGAGAACAUAUCAGGGAACAAAACACAUUUGUUAAUUACCUCCCACGCUUGCAUCUGUUGAAGGUAGUACAAGCCCUGGAAUUAUAUAUCUUACCCUGUUUGAUACAAGCUUCAUACGCAGAAGAAGUACAUAUCGCCGUAUGUUGCAAGGCCCUCGUGGAUAUGUAAUUAUUUCUCCCUGAAAGAGAAUCCCAAAAUUCAUCAGCUCCCCCAUCUUCAUGAACAGUGAGAUUUCCCCAGUCACUUAUCAUCUGCCCUGAGGUUACAACGCCAAGGAGCAAGAGAAGGACGAAGACUAUUGACUUCAUUUCUUCAAUUAUUUGUCUUUUUUUUUUUGUUUUUCUGUGGUGUGAGGAGUGAUGGAUAGGGAAGAUAGAUAUAGUGGUAGUAUGAUUACUUUGGUUGGUCCAUAUUUAAUAUGAACUAAAUGUAUCCCUGAGCAUAUGUAAACAAUUAUAUAACAUGAAAUUUUUAAAAUGUUUUUGUAUUUGGUUAUCAAAACUAUAUUAUUUAAUUAAAAACUAUAUUAAAAUUUUCAAAUCACUUUUUCGAUGAAAACGCCAGCCAACUUCUUUUUUUGUUCAUGGAUUGUUUUUAAAUUUGUUUUUCUAGAUUUCCAAAUAAUAUUUAGAGAAUUACUCGUUCUUUUACCUCUAUUUUGUUGUUUACCAAUAAUUUCCACCGAAUAUUGGCUUUAUUACAUACUGACAUAUACCUUUGUACAAUUUCGUUUUACAACUUUUGUCGUAGCUUUUUUAGGU